UUUACGUGUUUGAUAAGGCCAUAUUAGAAUAUUGUAUAGUGUGUGAAAAGUCUAUUAUAAUAACCUUUUCAAUUUUCUGUUUUCCAAGCUUGUCCCUUAGAUCUCCCGCCGCUACUUGUAUUUGCGAGGGAAAAAAUCGUGGCUUCUUUUUUAUGCCAGAUCAAAGGACACACAAUUGCCAGCCUUACGAUUCGGCUUUCGGAGCUCGCACGGAUCAAAUCUCAGGCGAUUCUCAACUUUUUAUAUUCUCAUAUCGAUAUGAGUUCGACACAUCAAGGAGGUCAAGAGCAAGGAUUGAAGAUCAAGGCCAUUGGAACGUACGUAGCAGACUGUUUAUUUGUCCGAUUAACAUUUUGCGUUGUAUCAACAUUCUAGGUACAAUUAAUAAAUAGAUGUUUUAAUUUUAGACAGUCAAUCUGUAAACGUUGAUCACCAAGAGAUUUUGUAUUGUACUGUGUAAUGUUGAUAUAUUAGCAUAGUGAUUUUGGUCAUGGGAAAUUUGGAGGUUGUAUUUAUAUAACCCGUGAAAAAGUAUCAUGUGUAUUAUUUUA